UCCGUAGGGUGCGAGCGUUGUCCGGAAUUAUUGGGCGUAAAGGGCUCGUAGGCGGUCUGUCGCGUCGGGAGUGAAAACUCAGGGCUUAACCCUGAGCCUGCUUCCGAUACGGGCAGACUAGAGGUAUGCAGGGGAGAACGGAAUUCCUGGUGUAGCGGUGAAAUGCGCAGAUAUCAGGAGGAACACCGGUGGCGAAGGCGGUUCUCUGGGCAUUACCUGACGCUGAGGAGCGAAAGUGUGGGGAGCGAACAGG
rnacentral:rRNA from 1 species